UACGGAGGAUGCAAGCGUUAUCCGGAAUGAUUGGGCGUAAAGCGUCCGCAGGUGGCAAUGUAAGUCUGCUGUCAAAGCGUCUGGCUCAACCAGAUAAAGGCAGUGGAAACUACAUAGCUAGAGUGAGGUAGGGGUAGAGGGAAUUCCUGGUGUAGCGGUGAAAUGCGUAGAGAUCGGGAGGAACACCAGUGGCGAAGGCGGCUACCUGGACCAGCACUGACACUGAGGCACGAAAGCGUGGGGAGCAAACAGG
rnacentral:rRNA from 1 species